UCUUAUUCUUUCUUUCUUCUCUCUUAUUCUUUCUCCUCUCAUUUUGUCUCCAUUUUUUUUCCCUCUCUUUCUCUGAUUUUUUUUUUCUUGGUUUUAUGUUUCACUCUCUCCCUCUGUAUCUCUUUCUUUGCAACUCUGUAUUUUUGUUUCUCUUUUUUUUUUCUCUCUUCAUUUUUUGUUUCUCUGUACAUAUAUGUGUUCAUCUUGUAGAUUUGGGUGAAGUUCUUGGACAUCUGGGUUAAGUUCUUGUAGAUCUGGGUAAAGAGCCAGUCUAAAGCAAGUCAGCGUCUCUUAUCUCUCCAAUCCCUUGUGCCGAUAUGUAUUUUUUUUGUUUCAACAAUCCAUUUUGGUGCUUUAACUUCACUUUUGGUUUCAUUUGUUUCUUCUGAUAUGGUAUUGAUAUUUUCUAUGAUUUUGGGUUGAUGAUGUUAUUGAGGUUUGAUUCUUUUCUUUUUUUUUUCUUUCGAUUUUUUCCUGUUGUGUUUUGACAGACAUGUUCUCUAUUCCUGAUAUCAUUCCUCAGUGGCAAAAUCUUUGAACGUUAUUGUAAAUUUUAGACGGGAGAGAAGCUCAUUCAUAAUUCAAAAAAAGAAAAUAAAGUUACAACAAUUGACAAUUUAUUGCUCUUUGAAAUAGGUACUGCAGUAGCAUGGAUAAAAAGAAAGACUGAAGAUGUUGCAGAAAAUUGAAUAUGUUCUAUUUCUGUAAUUUGUUUGUAAUUAAAUUUGCUUUAUUUUUUCUUGUGUUUAGGUUGUAAGUUUUAUUUUAAUGCUUGAUAUUUGUUGUUUUGUCAAAAAAUUGUAUUAACGCUUGAUGGAUUCAUUCAAUUUGCGGUGCGUGGAUGUGAAUUGGGCCAAUCGGUAAUAAUUAGGCCCAAAAGGUUUUAAAUAUCAAUUGGGCUGAAGCUUAAAAAAAAUUUAAGAACAAAAAAAAAUUCAAUUAAGCUGAAGAGUCGGCCCAAACCGUAAAAAUAGGUACCGAACCGGAUCAAAAUCGAUCUGGGUUGCUGGUUUUCUCAAGCAUUUUAGUAAAAAUUCAAAUCGGACCAAAUCGGUUUUGGGUUGAUGCAAAAACCGGUCCAAAUCGGACCGCGCCCACCCGUAGUCAACACUAUACCUCAAAUAAAUUAAAAAGAUUGCUGCUAAACGAACUCUAAAAUUAAUUGAGUACAUCCUAAUAUUUUAAUUAAAAAGUUAAAUACUUUUUUGAUCACUUGUUUUACAUGAAAAUUCAAUUUGGUCACUGGGUACAAAAUUUAGCCAAAUUUGUCAUCGUGUUUUCCAAAGUUUACAAUUUAUAGACAUUUUGUUAUCUUUAAUUCAGUGUAGUUUUUUUUUGUUUUUUUAAUUUUAAGGAAGCACCUUCAAUCUUCUUCCUCUAAAUCAACAAGUUAGGUAUAUUAUGUUAUUAGGGUUUAGUGUGACGGUGGAGGAGACGAUGUUAUGAAUGAGGUGUUGCUAUGUUCGGUGGAGGAGAUGACGACGGUGAUUCACAAUUCAAUAUAUCUUGUUUUGUAAUUUUAUAUUAGAGUAAAUUAGUAAUUCAAUAAAUGGUUUGGUAGUAAGGUAUACUCGUUUAAUUUUAGGGUUCGUUUAGCAGCACUCAUUAAAAAAAAUGCAAAGGAACUUAUAAAUCAAGCAUCCAUGCAUCCGAGGUCCUUUAUUGGAAUUUCACUCCCACAAUAUCGCUUGUAUAAAAAUAAAAAGUAAAAAAUAAGUCCCCUCCC
rnacentral:lncRNA from 1 species